GCACUCCUUCUGGUUUGUCCUGA
rnacentral:siRNA from 1 species